GACGAACGCUGGCGGCGUGCUUAACACAUGCAAGUCGAGCGGUAAGGCCCUUUCGGGGGUACACGAGCGGCGAACGGGUGAGUAACACGUGGGUGACCUGCCCUCAGCUCUGGGAUAAGCCUGGGAAACUGGGUCUAAUACUGGAUAUGACUCCACGGUGCAUGUCGUGGGGUGGAAAGCCUUGUGCGGCUGAGGAUGGGCCCGCGGCCUGUCAGCUUGUUGGGGGGUGAUGGCCUACCAAGGCGACGACGGGUAGCCGGCCUGAGAGGGCGACCGGCCACACUGGGACUGAGACACGGCCCAGACUCCUACGGGAGGCAGCAGUGGGGAAUCUUGCGCAAUGGGCGAAAGCCUGACGCAGCGACGCCGCGUGA
rnacentral:rRNA from 1 species